CCUACGGGUGGCAGCAGUGGGGAAUAUUGCACAAUGGGGGAAACCCUGAUGCAGCGACGCCGCGUGAGUGAAGAAGUAAUUCGUUAUGUAAAGCUCUAUCAGCAGGGAAGAAAAUGACGGUACCUGAGUAAGAAGCCGCGGCUAACUACGUGCCAGCAGCCGCGGUAAUAAGUAGGGGGCAAGCGUUAUCCGGAUUUACUGGGUGUAAAGGGAGCGUAGACGGCAGUGCAAGUCUGAAGGGAAAGGCCGGGGCUCAACCCCCGGACUGCUGUGGAAACUGUACGGCUGGAGUGCAGGAGAGGUAAGUGGAAUUCCUAGUGUAGCGGUGAAAUGCGUAGAUAUUAGGAGGAACACCAGUGGCGAAGGCGGCUUACUGGACUGUAACUGACGUUGAGGCUCGAAAGCGUGGGGAGCAAACAGGAUUAGAUACCCCUGUAGUC
rnacentral:rRNA from 1 species